rnacentral:rRNA from 1 species
AGCGAACGCUGGCGGCAUGCCUAACACAUGCAAGUCGAACGGAUCCUUCGGGAUUAGUGGCGGACGGGUGAGUAACACGUGGGAACGUGCCCUUUGGUUCGGAACAACUCAGGGAAACUUGAGCUAAUACCGGAUAUGCCCUUCGGGGGAAAGAUUUAUCGCCAUUGGAUCGGCCCGCGUCUGAUUAGCUAGUUGGUGAGGUAACGGCCCACCAAGGCGACGAUCAGUAGCUGGUCUGAGAGGAUGAUCAGCCACACUGGGACUGAGACACGGCCCAGACUCCUACGGGAGGCAGCAGUGGGGAAUAUUGCGCAAUGGGCGAAAGCCUGACGCAGCAAUGCCGCGUGAAUGAUGAAGGUCUUAGGAUUGUAAAAUUCUUUUAGCGGGGACGAUAAUGACGGUACCCGGAGAAGAAGCUCCGGCUAACUUCGUG